AUUUGUAAAAAAGAAUUUAAAAAUUCAGAAUAAUAGAGUAGUAAUUAAAUAAAUUAUAAUGUGCUACUGACUCACCAGAAGUUAUGUUUGUGGAGUCUUUAAUGACAUGGAGUCAAAGAUUAUAAUCAAAUGCCAAUUAAAUGAAAUAUGUGAUUUCAAUCUGGUAAAUAUGUGUGUGUGUGUGUGUGCGCGUGUGUGUGUGUACUUCCUCCGUUUGAAGGUACAUGUUUUUAUGUUUUACUGCUUCUUAAACUAAGAUGAAUCACACAAUAUAAUUCCUUUCUCUACUCAAAAAGCUGUUUUUACAUUGAUGCCUUAUCUCACAAGGAAUUGCAUCUUGGAAUCAAGGAAAGACUGUCCAUGUGCCUUAAAAAGAUAUUUCUUAUAUAAGUAGAAAAGAAAUUAUGUUUUAAAAGGAAAAGCCCCUUGUGGCAUACCUUUCAAGGCUGCUUCUCACUUUGGUCUUUAAAGAGCCUGUCUUAGAGGAGUUCCUCUGUGCCAUGUUUAUGGUUAUGUGUCCACUACCUGAUCGUCUAUUUACGUUACUAAAGAGGAAAUGAAGCCCACUUGGAGUGGAUUUUUAUUACGAACACACACUAGACCCUAGUGAAUAGUGAAUACACACUAUGAUCAACAUUUUAUUUGUAAGGUCAACGGACUGCCUGUUUAAUCAUCCUUUCUGGAAUUUUGCGAGAUAACAACAUCAAGUCUACUUAUUUACUGUUUCUAGAACCUGCUUCCAAACCCCGUAUUGCCUGUAUUUUCACUUCUGAAAAUCCAGAAUGUGUCUGUUUUGUUCCAGUCUCCUGACUUAUGUCAGGGUCCGUUGAUUCCAUGACUACCCCAAGUCACCUCACAAUCAUGCCUCCGAGGCCCCUUAGAAUCCUGGGGCACAGGUCCUCUGGAAACGGAGGGUAGGAUUCAUUCAAGUAGCCCGUUCUUUCUGGAAAUUCGUGUACCCUUUUAACCCAUGCUGGACUUUUUAAGUUUUGAAGAUCUGCAAAUUCUUUGACACUUCUACACUAAAAAGGUGGCGUUUACUUACCUUCCCCUUAAACACCGGCCGGACUCAGUGACUCGAUUCUGCUGAAUAGGGUGAGGAAGAAGAAGCCCUCGGACACUUCUGCGGCUGGGUGGGGAACAGCGACACGGCCUCCAAAUGACUCUGUAUCUUAGGAGAUGUGCCUUUGGGGAGCCUGAGCUGCCCUGUAAGAAAUCCAGAUACCCUACAGUUGCCAUGAUGCAGAGGGCAAGUGGAGACACCAUCUGGAGGAGCCCCUGUGGUGCUGGCCACCAGCUGUGUGCACCCUAAUAGCUAAAGCAAGGGCUGUUUCACGCCAGCUUAAGAGCUAUGAAUUUGGAACUUCAGGACUCAAAGCCCUUCAGAGCUACCAAGAAUGUCAUUUCAUUCACUGCCUGGCUGUAGAGAAAGAGUGACGGGGACGGAGCGGGGCUGCCAAGUGCCUCUGGGAGCCGAUUAGUAGGGGACUGGAGUGCCCUGGCUCCCCGGAUACAAAUGGAACGUAGUUACAGGGCCAAGCCAUGUAGGCCUUUAACGGAGAUAGCAUAUCAGCUUUCCCAUGACCCAGAACACAUGGGGACUUGGAGAUGACACUAUGCUCCACCUUGGUCAAGCCUCUGAGAUUCUGAAGCAGGAACAGUUAGAUACAACAAAACUUAAAAGGACGGAAUCUCUUAUUAUCAGAGCUUUGAGUUUUGUUACAGGAGCUGUGUUCUUUGGCCUGACCAGAAGGAAAUUCACUCUCCUUUUCAGAUGGAUAAGGUGCAGGGGUCUUUGGGUACCCCAGGUGGAUGGAAACAACCCCCAGCCAAAGGCUGUCAGAAAAGAAGUUUAGGUAAUAUUGCCCAGCUCAAUAACCAGUCUGGAAGAGGGCAUCAAGCAGGCCACUCAGGUAGGAGAAGGUGACAGCAGACAUUUGAGACUUGAGAGGGUCCUGAAAGAGUCUUCGCUUUUGAAACAUACCUGGCAUUGCUUAGUUGUUUGUGGAACUGGGGGAAACCCUUAUAUACUGUUGGACUUUAGGUUCUUAUGGUUGGACUCUUCCAGAAAAUGUAAAAUGGGGUCGGGGAGGGUCUAGUUCCUCCCAGCUUUCUUUAGCUCUGUGUAAUUAGGUUCCUGCCUACAUGUCGUGCCCUCCGCCCGCUACCCGCUUCGCCCGACCUGCAGGACUGCCUUCCCAUCGCGAGCACAUACUUCUUGGGAAGGCUCCCAAGAACCCUCCCUCCUGCCAUCAGGGUUGGCGACCACCUUAUUUGUGAUAUCACUGGAGGCAUGCAUACCUCUGUUUCAGUUGAAGACCUACCUAAAAUACUCUGAAUUGGUUCAGCACAAGUCUUUCUAGUCCCUUCUCAAAGGCAGGAAAUGAUGACAUUUGACACGGGGGUACCUAAAGACACAGGCAACAGGGGCCAAACCAAGAGUGGACCUUGACCCCAUCACCUGGGCUGAUGUCUUCACUGAAACCCUCCAGACUUCAUGGUAUGCCCAUCGCCAGAUUUGGUGUAGCCCAGAAUGAUCCCCUUUAGGGGAAAAGGAGGGAAGGAGAGGAGAAGGAAGAAAGGAAGAAACAUCUUUAUCAGUUAAAAAAUAAUCAGUUCGUUUUCCUGUAGCAACUUACUGAGAGCCUACCCCGUCAGUCACUGAAGAGCCAUCACAGUAUCUAUGUGUGAUGAUCAUUAUCUGUGAUGAUAACCCUGUGAGGUUCUGGUUACUUGGACUUCUGUGGUGGUUUCAGUUUGAUCUCUCCUGGAGUAACAGCUGGCCAUUACUUCAUACUGCUGCAACGAAAAAUUCUAAGGCGCGCUUUGUGGAAGAGAAAUAAAGGGGAUCUGGUCUUUGAAGAUGUGGAAUAUGGUAACUACCUUGCCAGUAAACCAUGCUAUCGCCGUGGAAGACUCUGAAGGAGGACAAGCCCUGAGUUUCCUGGUUAUGUGUGAUUCACACCAGAUAAUCAAAAGACUGAGAGAGAAUGUUCUUCUGGAUGGAUAGAAGAGUUUGAUUUGUCAAUGGAUCCCAAGGUACAACUUGAAGAAGAGAAAAAUUAUUUUCUCAAAAAUCUUAAAAAUCACAGAUUUCUGAUCUAAUUGGCAGCACUUCCUAGCUUUAAAGGUUGAAUUUAUCUGAGCAAAAUGACUUGGGGCAAUUUGUGUAAUUACUUCACAGUUAUCUGCAGACAGACUGUGGAAACCACAUCUCUGCAGAUAAAUGCGCAGAUUCAGGUCACUAGGACAUACUCCUGACACCUGACACGCUGCGUGAGAUUUUUCUUCCCUCUCCCUGCUUCUCCCUCCCUUUUAGUAAUCUAAUCCUUUUAGCAAGAAUGCUAUUUUGUCAUGAAAAUACAAGGAAAUGAGAACAUUUUCUUGGUCUUAAAAUCUCAAACCCUAUUUGCUGAUACCAUCAGAUAAAGCAUUCUACUCAGGCUAGGUCCAAGGCUAUGAUAAGAUUUAUUUUCACAAGAUGGUAACAGUAUCGUAUCCUUUGAGGCUAAUCUUUAGAACAUGAGUACAUUUUUGUUGUUGAGUUGUCCUUUUUCUUCUAUAGUACUGAAAUGUUACAUCUUAUUCUUAAUAAUUAUUUUUCAAUGAAUUCCUUAUAAUUUAAAGAGAAACUUUCCUCAUUGGGCUCAUGUAUUUUACCCACCCAAAAUUGCAAAUAGAAUUUGUACAAUUUCAUGAGCUCUGACACGAAAAAUGUCGUAGGCAAUUCUGUAUAACAACUCAACAGCAGACGCAGAAGUGAAGAGCCAGCUGACAUCCUUGAAACUUCCAUGUGCUUGGGUUUAUGUUUAAAGGGCCAUUCAACAUAACAGAGUACAUUUGAAUAGAAAGGAAGUAAUUUUGAAAUGCUUUAUUCCAUUUACUUAGGGAAUAAUAUAAAUAAUGUUAUAAGAUAAAUUUUGCUCUCUGGUAACCCAAACAUUUUAAACAUUCAUUAUCUAGUCUUUGCUCCAUUUAUUUGAAAUGCAGUGGCAUAUUCAGAAAAUCUGAAAGAAAAAGAUUAAUUGCAAUUAUUUUACCAAUGGUAUUAUGGGAAAUUAUACCAGUUUAUGAAUAAAGGAAGCUAGAUACUUAAAUGCCUCCCUCAGUGUAAGAUGUCAAUAUGUUAUACUUCAGGAUAUACUAAGUAUAUCCUGUGGUUUGGAAAUUUAGAUUAUCAUCAUAGUUUUUUAGUUAUCAAGAGAAAUUACUUUUUAGAAAAUCAACUUUAUUGAGGUGUUAUUUACAUACAAUAAAAUGCAUCUAUUUUAAGCGUCCAUUUAGAUGAAUUAUGACAAAUAUAUACAUCUGUGGAACCGCAGUCACUACAAUCAAGAUAUAGAAUAUUCAGGGGCUGGCCCCGUGGCUGAGAGGUUAAGUUCAUGUACUCCGCUGCGUCGGCCCAGGGUUUCACCGGUUCGGAUCUUGGGCGCGGACAUGGCACCACUCAUCAGGCCACGUUGAGGUGGUGUCCCACAUACCACAACUAGAAGGACCUGCAGCUAAGAUAUACAGC
ensembl:lncRNA